rnacentral:rRNA from 1 species
AUGGCGCUCACCAGCGCGGCACCGGAGACGGCAGGGGGCGAGGAGGAGGGAGCGACGUCCUGGGGCAGCGCGGCGAGGCGAAGGCCGGCGGCGGCGUUGGGGCAAGGAUCUCCUGUUCAUCACGGGCAGAGGUGCUCCAGCAGGGCCGAGGCGGCGGCAGGGGAGGACCCCGGCGAAGCGCAGCCUCAUCCGGCGGCGGCGGUGGGCUCCGGAGGCCAGCUGGAGGUGUAG